GCCUGGGUGGCUCGGUCGGUUAAGCGCCAGACUUGAGCUCAGGUCAUGAUCUCACGGUUUGUGGGUUCGAGCCCCACAUCAGGCU
rfam:Felis catus isolate Cinnamon breed Abyssinian chromosome D3, whole genome shotgun sequence.